rnacentral:rRNA from 1 species
UACGGAGGGUGCGAGCGUUGUCCGGAAUCAUUGGGCGUAAAGGGCGCGUAGGUGGCCCGGUCAGUCUUUGGUGAAAGCGCGGGGCUCAACCCUGCGUCGGCCAGGGAUACUGCCGCGGCUCGAGCACUGUAGAGGCAGGCGGAAUUCCGGGUGUAGCGGUGGAAUGCGUAGAGAUCCGGAAGAACACCGGUGGCGAAGGCGGCCUGCUGGGCAGUUUAGCUGACACUGAGGCGCGACAGCGUGGGGAGCA